UCAGACCCCUUUGAUAGUGACAGCGACCCAGAUGACCCUGAGCCUUUCCAUGGUUUUGAUGCCUCGCCCUAUUCAUCAGAUCUAGAUGUUCCCUCAUCAGUUGAUACGAGUAGUAUCACCUCUCCAGAGCCCAAAUCAGUUGAUACGAGUAGUAUCACCUCUCCCAUUCCUUCAGACUCCCAAGCACCUGCCCAUCCUACUCCAUAGCCCAGCCACCCACUCAUCUACCAUAUGCCCAUCCCAGUAAGCAAGCCAACCACUAGAAUUUGGUAAGGACA